rnacentral:rRNA from 1 species
UGAGGAAUAUUGGUCAAUGGACGCAAGUCUGAACCAGCCAAGUAGCGUGCAGGAUGACGGCCCUCCGGGUUGUAAACUGCUUUUAGUUGGGAAUAAAAAGAGGGACGUGUCCCUCAUUGUAUGUACCUUCAGAAAAAGGACCGGCUAAUUCCGUGCCAGCAGCCGCGGUAAUACGGAAGGUCCAGGCGUUAUCCGGAUUUAUUGGGUUUAAAGGGAGCGUAGGCGGAUUAUUAAGUCAGUGGUGAAAGACGGUGGCUCAACCAUCGUUAGCCAUUGAAACUGGUAGUCUUGAGUGCAGACAGGGAUGCUGGAGCUCGUGGUGUAGCGGUGAAAUGCUUAGAUAUCACGAUGAGCUCCGAUCGCGAAGGCAGGUGUCCGGGCUGCAACUGACGCUGAGGCUCGAAAGUGUGGGUAUCAAACAGG